GUCUGUCAGAUAAUGAGAGUAGACAACAUAAGCAACAUAAUGAGAGACAAAGUCACAAUAAUAGAAUAAAAUGAAGGCACUCAAGUAUUAAUGAGAAAACAAAACAGAAUAAUAAGCAAAGUAAAAUAAUGAGACAAUAAGGCCAGUCAACAAAUAAUAGUGAAUUUACUGUAGGAAGGGUCUGUUGUACUACCUACUUAAUGACCAUUCAAGUCUACUUGUUAAAGAUGUGUUUACACUUUGAAGUGUCAUUUUCUUGUACUAUGAUACAUUUUUUACUAUUUUCUUCCACCUGCCUUAAUUAACAUUGAGUAGAGUCUCACUAAUACAACUUGAAUAUUACUCAGCCGGCAGUCUUUGCCAUGGUGGAGUGUGACACUGAAUCAGUACUGACAUUUUAUCAUUUACAUUUCAUUACUUUGAUUACUCAACAAAAUACUGCAUUGUUUUUUGUAACCUGCUGACUGAUGAAGGGACAAUGUGUGCUCCUCAACACUUGGUUCUUGCCACGUGCCGCAGCAGACUGACAGCUUCCAGUGGGCCUGUCUGAGGGGCGUGACCUCCGCCGCAUUGCUUCAGCAGCCUUCAAGUCCCGGCAAUGAAACGGUUCGUGUGAGGAAGACUGCUUCUGGUGCUACUGGUGGAAAUUGUUACUAGUGUCGUGGUGGCAGCACGGGCCUCGGCACUCCCUGGCACCACGGCAGGUGUCAGUGAGGCAGGCAGGUGUUGGUUCAAGUCCUGGCAGUGUCACUUCGCUGCUGUAUUGUUUGGUGCAGCGGAUGAUGCUACGUUUUUCAUCACUUAGUGUAGAGUCUAUUUUUGCUUGACGUUAUUUGUGUUGGUAAGGCAUUUCCACUAUAUAGUGGUAGAUAUUCUGGGAAAUAAGGAAUUAGCAAUACUAAGACAUGCUUGAACAACACUCACCAGUGUGGAAGACUUGUCAGGCAGUGGCUGUAGUGGCUUCACUUGAACCACGACCAUGUUCUCCUCAACCCUUGGAAAGAGAACAAUUCAUCUGAAAUGGAGAUACAAAGAUAUUGGGGAAAAUUUAAGAGAGAGACGCUGCAAAGUGUAGCUGACAGUGUGCGUGUCGUCAUCAAGAGGAGGGGCUCUAAAAUGAAACAGUAGGACACUCGUGAAGACAUUCAUACUAUCUUUUCUCAAGGGAAGAGUGUGUCGUGUGUGUUAACAACGUCAGGCGCGGACAUUUUUUGCAUCAAGGGUGAUGUACGAUCCGGACAUGAAAAAAGUUUUUUUCUUUUAUAAUUUUCUAAUUUUUUUCCGCUUCUUUUGAUAUAUGUAACGUUUUGAUAAGAACUAAAAAAAAUCCCCUUA